rnacentral:ncRNA from 1 species
UAAAAAACAUUGAAGUGACAUAGUAAAGAGCACUGUGGCAAAAGAGAUAUCACGGAUGGUGAAAGUGAUACGCAAAGGUUCUUGAAUUCACCACGGAGUUAUACAGCAGAAAAGCUGUUUCGGCAGUGCCCGUUAUCGCACAUGGUUCUUUGAACCUAGUAAGGCAGAACUUGUGAAAGUUAUGCAACUAGAGGUGGUAACGCGUGGAUUCGCCCUCUUG